rnacentral:rRNA from 1 species
AACGAACGCUGGCGGCAUGCCUAACACAUGCAAGUCGAACGAUGCCUUCGGGCAUAGUGGCGCACGGGUGCGUAACGCGUGGGAAUCUGCCUUUCGGUUCGGAAUAACUCAGGGAAACUUGAGCUAAUACCGGAUAACGUCGCAAGACCAAAGAUUUAUCACCGAAAGAUGAGCCCGCGUAGGAUUAGCUAGUUGGUGAGGUAAAGGCUCACCAAGGCGACGAUCCUUAGCUGGUCGGAGAGGAGGAUCAGCCACACUGGGACUGAGACACGGCCCAGACUCCUACGGGAGGCAGCAGUGGGGAAUAUUGGACAAUGGGCGAAAGCCUGAUCCAGCAAUGCCGGGUGAGUGAUGAAGGCCUUAGGGUUGUAAAGCUCUUUUGCCCGGGAAGAUAAUGACGGUACCGGGAGAAUAAGCCCCGGCUAACUCCGUG